rnacentral:rRNA from 1 species
GUGAGGAAUUUUCCGCAAUGGGCGAAAGCCUGACGGAGCAAUGCCGCGUGAAGGAUGAAGGCCUAUGGGUUGUAAACUUCUUUUCUCAGAAAAGAAUUAUGACGGUAUCUGAGGAAUAAGCAUCGGCUAACUCUGUGCCAGCAGCCGCGGUAAGACAGAGGAUGCAAGCGUUAUCCGGAAUGAUUGGGCGUAAAGCGUCUGUAGGUUGUUUAAAAAGUAUUCUGUCAAAGAUUAGGGCUUAACCCUAGAUAGGCAGAAUAAACUUUUAAGCUAGAGUUUGGUAGAGGCAGAGGGAAUUCCCGGUGGAGCGGUGAAAUGCGUAGAUAUCGGGAGGAACACCAAAGGCGAAGGCACUCUGCUGGGCCAAUACUAACACUGAGAGACGAAAGCGUGGGGAGCAAACAGGAUUAGAUACCCGGGUAGUCC